UACAGAGGGUGCGAGCGUUGUUCGGAAUUACUGGGCGUAAAGCGCGCGCAGGCGGCCUUUUAAGUCUGGCGGUGAAAUGCCGGGGCUCAACCCCGUUGCAGGCCGCGGAUACUGGGAGGCUGGAGACGAGUAGAGGCAAGCGGAAUUCCUGGUGUAGCGGUGAAAUGCGCAGAUAUCAGGAGGAACACCGGUGGCGAAGGCGGGUCUCUGGGCAAUGAACUGACGCUGAGGAGCGAAAGCGUGGGGAGCGAACAGG
rnacentral:rRNA from 1 species